CGCUUUCGUGCAUGAGCGUCAGUGCAGGCCCAGGGGAUUGCCUUCGCCAUCGGUGUUCCUCCGCAUAUCUACGCAUUUCACUGCUACACGCGGAAUUCCAUCCCCCUCUGCCGCACUCUAGCCUUGCAGUCACAAUGGCAGUUCCCAGGUUGAGCCCGGGGAUUUCACCACUGUCUUACAAAACCGCCUGCGCACGCUUUACGCCCAGUAAUUCCGAUUAACGCUUGCACCCUACGUAUUACCGCGGCUGCUGGCACGUAGUUAGCCGGUGCUUAUUCUUACGGUACCGUCAUGACCCGGGGAUAUUAGCCCCAGGCUUUUCGUUCCGUACAAAAGCAGUUUACAACCCGAGGGCCUUCAUCCUGCACGCGGCAUUGCUGGAUCAGGCUUUCGCCCAUUGUCCAAAAUUCCCCACUGCUGCCUCCCGUAGGAGUCUGGGCCGUGUCUCAGUCCCAGUGUGGCUGGUCGUCCUCUCAGACCAGCUACAGAUCGCAGGCUUGGUAAGCCUUUACCCCACCAACUACCUAAUCUGCCAUCAGCCGCUCUAGUAGCACAAGGCCCGAAGGUCCCCUGCUUUCAUCCGUAGAUCUCAUGCGGUAUUAGCUACUCUUUCGAGUAGUUAUCCCCCACUACUAGGCACGUUCCGAUGUAUUACUCACCCGUUCGCCACUCGUCAGCAUCCGAAGACCUGUUACCGUUCGACUUGCAUGUGUAAAGCAUGCCGCCAGCGUUCAAU
rnacentral:rRNA from 1 species